AGGAACUAGUGGAUCAAGCAUUCC
rnacentral:siRNA from 1 species